rnacentral:lncRNA from 1 species
AUAAAUCACAACCAAAACUAGGACCAUUAGAAUAUGACGAUUCCUGUUCCAGAUAAGUUGGUGACUGCAAUGCCAGGAAAGAGUCAUUAUUCAGUCCAUUAAAGCCACCAUGUGUAUUGAAUUCUGCAGGAAUUCGAGGUUCUGCCUCGAAAGAAUUUUCUACAACAUCAACAGAAUAAGUAGCCCACUGCUCAUCUGGUAGUCUCAAUGACUCCAAAACGUGAUGAGGUACUAGCUGCAAUCCUGUAUAAGUGUUUUCUGCAACAUGAUUUCCAAAACAAGAAAUCAAGUGGUUUGGUAGUUGCUGCGACUCAGAGAAAGCAAUUACCCGUCCACUGUCAAUUUGAGAAUUCAAUAAAUCACAACCAAAACUAGGACCAUUAGAAUAUGACGAUUCCUGUUCCAGAUAAGUUGGUGACUGCAAUGCCAGGAAAGAGUCAUUAUUCAGUCCAUUAAAGCCACCAUGUGUAUUGAAUUCUGCAGGAAUUCGAGGUUCUGCCUCGAAAGAAUUUUCUACAACAUCAACAGAAUAAGUAGCCCAUUGCUCAUCUGGUAGUCUCAGUGACUCCAAAAUGUCAUGUGGUACUAGCUGCAAUCCUGUAUAAGUAUUUUCUGCAACAUGAUUUCCAAAACAAGAAAUCAAGUGGUUUGGUAGUUGCUGCAACUCAGAGAAAGCAAUUACCGGUCCACUGUCAAUUUGAUAAUUCAAUAAAUCACAACCAAAACUAGGACCAUUAGAAUACGACGAUUCCUGCUCCAGAUAAGUUGGUGACUGCAAUGCCAGGAAAGAGUCAUUAUUCAGCCCAUUAAAGCCACCAUGUGUAUUGAAUUCUACAGGAAUUAGAGGUUCUGCCUCCAAAGAUUUUUCUACAACAUCAAUAGAAUAAGUAGCCCAUUUCUCAUCUGGUAGUCUCAGUGACUCCAAAACGUCAUGUGGUACUAGUUGCAAUCCUGUAGAAGUAUUUUCUGCAACAUGAUUUCCAGAAUAAGGAAUUAAACAGACACGCGGUG